UACGUAGGGGGCAAGCGUUGUCCGGAAUCAUUGGCGUGAAAGCAGCGUGUAGGAGCGGCCCUGAAAGUCUGGUGUGAAAACUUGAGGCUCAACCUCAAGCUGUCACUGGAUACUGUCGGGCUUGAGUCCGGAAGAGGCGAGUGGAAGCUCCUGGUGUAGCGGUGGAAUGCGCAGAUAUCAGGAAGAACACCAACGGCGAAGGCAGCUCGCUGGGACGGUACUGACGCUGGAGACGCGAAAGCGUGGGGAGCGAACAGG
rnacentral:rRNA from 1 species